rnacentral:rRNA from 1 species
CCUACGGGUGGCAGCAGUGGGGAAUAUUGCACAAUGGGGGAAACCCUGAUGCAGCGACGCCGCGUGAGUGAAGAAGUAAUUCGUUAUGUAAAGCUCUAUCAGCAGGGAAGAAAAUGACGGUACCUGAGUAAGAAGCCCCGGCUAACUACGUGCCAGCAGCCGCGGUAAUACGUAGGGGGCAAGCGUUCUCCGGAUUUACUGGGUGUAAGGGGAGCGUAGACGGCAGUGCAAGUCUGGAGUGAAAGGGGGGGGCUCAACCCCCGGACUGCUCUGGAAACUGUACGGCUGGAGUGCAGGAGAGGUAAGUGGAAUUCCUAGUGUAGCGGUGAAAUGCGUAGAUAUUAGGAGGAACACCAGUGGCGAAGGCGGCUUACUGGACUGUAACUGACGUUGAGGCUCGAAAGCGUGGGGAGCAAACAGGAUUAGAUACCCGGGUAGUC